GAUGAACGCUGGCGGCGUGCCUAAUACAUGCAAGUCGAGCGAACGGACGAGAAGCUUGCUUCUCUGAUGUUAGCGGCGGACGGGUGAGUAACACGUGGAUAACCUACCUAUAAGACUGGGAUAACUUCGGGAAACCGUAGCUAAUACCGGAUAAUAUUUUGAACCGCAUGGUUCAAAAGUGAAAGACGGUCUUGCUGUCACUUAUAGAUGGAUCCGCGCUGCAUUAGCUAGUUGGUAAGGUAACGGCUUACCAAGGCAACGAUGCAUAGCCGACCUGAGAGGGUGAUCGGCCACACUGGAACUGAGACACGGUCCAGACUCCUACGGGAGGCAGCAGUAGGGAAUCUUCCGCAAUGGGCGAAAGCCUGACGGAGCAACGCCGCGUGAGUGAUGAAGGUCUUCGGAUCGUAAAACUCUGUUAUUAGGGAAGAACAUAUGUGUAAGUAACUGUGCACAUCCUGACGGUACCUGAUCAGAAAGCCACGGCUAACUACGUG
rnacentral:rRNA from 1 species